AUGCUACAGGCUUAACACAUGCAAGUCGAGGGGCAGCAUGGUCUUAGCUUGCUAAGGCCGAUGGCGACCGGCGCACGGGUGAGUAACACGUAUCCAACCUGCCGUCUACUCUUGGACAGCCUUCUGAAAGGAAGAUUAAUACAAGAUGGCAUCAUGAGUCCGCAUGUUCACAUGAUUAAAGGUAUUCCGGUAGACGAUGGGGAUGCGUUCCAUUAGAUAGUAGGCGGGGUAACGGCCCACCUAGUCUUCGAUGGAUAGGGGUUCUGAGAGGAAGGUCCCCCACAUUGGAACUGAGACACGGUCCAAACUCCUACGGGAGGCAGCAGUGAGGAAUAUUGGUCAAUGGGCGAGAGCCUGAACCAGCCAAGUAGCGUGAAGGAUGACUGCCCUAUGGGUUGUAAACUUCUUUUAUAAAGGAAUAAAGUCGGGUAUGGAUACCCGUUUGCAUGUACUUUAUGAAUAAGGAUCGGCUAACUCCGUGCCAGCAGCCGCGGUAAUACGGAGGAUCCGAGCGUUAUCCGGAUUUAUUGGGUUUAAAGGGAGCGUAGAUGGAUGUUUAAGUCAGUUGUGAAAGUUUGCGGCUCAACCGUAAAAUUGCAGUUGAUACUGGAUAUCUUGAGUGCAGUUGAGGCAGGCGGAAUUCGUGGUGUAGCGGUGAAAUGCUUAGAUAUCACGAAGAACUCCGAUUGCGAAGGCAGCCUGCUAAGCUGCAACUGACAUUGAGGCUCGAAAGUGUGGGUAUCAAACAGGAUUAGAUACCCUGGUAGUCCACACGGUAAACGAUGAAUACUCGCUGUUUGCGAUAUACUGCAAGCGGCCAAGCGAAAGCGUUAAGUAUUCCACCUGGGGAGUACGCCGGCAACGGUGAAACUCAAAGGAAUUGACGGGGGCCCGCACAAGCGGAGGAACAUGUGGUUUAAUUCGAUGAUACGCGAGGAACCUUACCCGGGCUUAAAUUGCAGAUGAAUUACGGUGAAAGCCGUAAGCCGCAAGGCAUCUGUGAAGGUGCUGCAUGGUUGUCGUCAGCUCGUGCCGUGAGGUGUCGGCUUAAGUGCCAUAACGAGCGCAACCCUUGUUGUCAGUUACUAACAGGUUCCGCUGAGGACUCUGACAAGACUGCCAUCGUAAGAUGUGAGGAAGGUGGGGAUGACGUCAAAUCAGUACGGCCCUUACGUCCGGGGCUACACACGUGUUACAAUGGGGGGUACAGAGGGCCGCUACCACGCGAGUGGAUGCCAAUCCCCAAAACCUCUCUCAGUUCGGACUGGAGUCUGCAACCCGACUCCACGAAGCUGGAUUCGCUAGUAAUCGCGCAUCAGCCACGGCGCGGUGAAUACGUUCCCGGGCCUUGUACACACCGCCCGUCAAGCCAUGGGAGCCGGGGGUACCUGAAGUGCGUAACCGCGAGGAGCGCCCUAGGGUAAAACUGGUGACUGGGGC
rnacentral:rRNA from 1 species